UUGAUGGUGCAACUGAACCAGGCCGUUUGGUGCUGGCUUCACUUGAGUUCUUCUACUCUAAUGAUGAAUCUAACUCUCAAGAUGAGAAAGGCAAAAAAGCUAUCCAUAGCUUGCGCCAAGCCUGCCUUGUUUGUAUGGAAGCGAUAGCCUCCUUGUUGGCAAAGGCUAAACCAGGUGCUGAUCACCUUCUGUACCCUGAAAUUAAGCAGCAAGCCAUGGCCAUUGCUGAUGAAUGGAAGCCUAAGUUGGCUACUGCAGGCACUGAUGCUGCCAAUCAAGCUUCGUUGGAAACUGAGGCAUUUUUG
rnacentral:misc_RNA from 1 species